rnacentral:rRNA from 1 species
AACGAACGCUGGCGGCAUGCCUAACACAUGCAAGUCGAACGAGACCUUCGGGUCUAGUGGCGCACGGGUGCGUAACGCGUGGGAAUCUGCCCUUGGGUUCGGGAUAACAGUUGGAAACGACUGCUAAUACCGGAUGAUGACUUCGGUCCAAAGAUUUAUCGCCCAGGGAUGAGCCCGCGUCGGAUUAGCUAGUUGGUGAGGUAAGAGCUCACCAAGGCGACGAUCCGUAGCUGGUCUGAGAGGAUGAUCAGCCACACUGGGACUGAGACACGGCCCAGACUCCCACGGGGGGCAGAAGGGGGGAAAAUUGGACAAGGGGCGAAAGCCUGAUCCAGCAAGGCCGGGGGAGUGAUGAAGGCCUUAGGGUUGUAAAGCUCUUUUACCCGGGAUGAUAAUGACAGGACCGGGAAAAAAAGCCCCGGCAAACUCCGU